AUAUGCUGUUUGUGAUCCAAUCACUCUUCUUAUGGAGGACAAUUUGACGCACCCAGAAAGUCCAGACUAUGACAAGAUCAUUAAUGACUAUCUAGCGGAUGGUGAGGAUGGGUCAAGUGAGGAUGAUGAAGUUGGAGCAAAAAAGGAUGAGCCAAAAAUAGAGAACACAACAGCGGCAAAAGAAAUCCCAGACCAACAAAAUGACAAGACCAGUGUUGCAGGCCCAAGCAAUUGGAAACGAAGUAAAAAGGAACUGAAGAAAUCGGAGGGAGCCAAAACAGCUACAACCCUGGACGAAGAAAUAAAUGGGAAACAAACCCGAAAACUCGGAAUGUGCUGUUUGUGAUCCAAUCACUCUUCUUAUGGAGGAUAAUUUGAAGCACCCAGAAAGUCCAGACUAUGAUAAGAUCAUUAAUGAGUAUCUAGCGGAUGGUGAGGAUGGGUCAAGUGAGGGUGAUGAAGAGGAAGCUGGAGCAAAAAAGGAUGAGCCUCAAGAGAAAACAACAGCGGCAAAAGAAAUGCAACAAAAGGAUGAGACCAAUACUGCAGGCCUAAGCAAUUGGAAAAAGAGGAAGACUAGAAAGAGAGAGAGGGAACAAGCGAAG